rnacentral:rRNA from 1 species
GACGAACGCUGGCGGCGUGCUUAACACAUGCAAGUCGAGCGGUAAGGCCCUUUCGGGGGUACGACGAGCGGCGAACGGGUGAGUAACACGUGGGUGACCUGCCCUCAGCUCUGGGAUAAGCCUGGGAAACUGGGUCUAAUACUGGAUAUGACUCCACGGUGCAUGUCGUGGGGUGGAAAGCCUUGUGCGGCUGAGGAUGGGCCCGCGGCCUAUCAGCUUGUUGGUGGGGUGAUGGCCUACCAAGGCGACGACGGGUAGCCGGCCUGAGAGGGCGACCGGCCACACUGGGACUGAGACACGGCCCAGACUCCUACGGGAGGCAGCAGUGGGGAAUCUUGCGCAAUGGGCGAAAGCCUGACGCAGCGACGCCGCGUGAGGGAUGACGGCCUGGUGUAACUACUUC